CGGGGAAGCCAGGAGCACCGGCUCCCUCUUCAUCCCCGCUGUGGAGUCCGUCACGGUGUCACCUGCAGGUGGACGCCCCACCAAAGGUGCCUGGCUUCCCCCUGCUCGGCUCUGCCAAACAGGAAAGAAUCCACACACUCCCUUCCUUCUCGGGUCCGUGAUGGAACUUCACGGCUGCUUCAGGAGAACACCCAGGGCAGGUGGCUGCACGCUUGGGGCCGGGGCUCCCCCGCCCUGAAGACUGCACACCCUGCGCCCAUUCCCCGUGCAGCCCGCCUGGGACAGCUCCGGGGGCCGAGCGGGACGGCAGGCUCCGCCCUCCCGGCUGCCGCGCGAUCAUGAAGCAGCACACGUGGGAAUCAGCCCCGGCCUCACGCCCAGUGCACCCAAAACUGAGCAGAUGCCCUGAAGCCACACUGUCUGUUCACCGGAGGCCAGCUUUGUCCCACACGGGUUGCCAACCAGGGCGGCGGAGGGACACAGAGGGCAAGGAGAGAGAAUGUUCCCGUGAAAACGCUGAUCUGCUGGGACUAAAGAAGAGGACCUUCCCCACAUUAUCAGAAAGUCCACUGGGAGAGAUGCCGCCAGACCCCGUGGCCGAGGCCGUCCCUACCCGAAAGGCCUCCAGCUCCUUCUCGGUGAAGUUGGCCGACUGGGCCAUGUCCCACAGGUCCAGCACCCGAGGCUCCUCGAACCCUGCGAAGGACCAAAGGCAGGCUUGGAGACCUGCACGGCGGCAGCCCGGGACGCCCGGGGCCACACAGGCCGCCUGCACAGGGCACGGUGCUUGUGCGCAAGCGCCCUCUGGAAGCAGACCAAGCACUCCUUCCAUGCACGUUCGGUCUGCGGAUCCCGGGACCCGCUGAGGGGGCCUCGGCGAUGCCCUCCCAGCCCCUGGUCGAGCCGCUGCUGCCCGGGGCACGGGAGCACUUGCGUGAGCCAGCAGGUGGAACGCUGGGGGGGGGGGUGCGGUUCAGACUGUGGGUCCCCCUACCCGCAGCUCCAGGCUGAGGCUCAGGCGCUGCCUGCCCCUGUAGCUCUGAAGCAAAGUAAACCAAACGGAAGGGACCCCGUGACUUCAGCCACCCCUCCUGCGAGCACGGGGCGAGGGUGUGGGCUUGUCACCCGCCUCCCUCCCACAGCGGCCCGCCCGGCGGUCAUCUCACCAGCUGUCCCACCUCCCCAGCGGCAGACCCUUCCCGCUGCCCGGGGCCCUGGGGCCCUGCUGGAGGGACUCGGCAGGCCAGCAGCAGGGGCCGGCUGGAUGCAGCCCCGGGAGGGGAGGGGCCGAGGCACAGCAUCAGCUGCCUGGCUCCUCCACACGGCCAGGCCCUUGGGGUCCCUGCUCCCUGGCAUUUCAGCAGAUCAGCACAGCGGGUCCACACGGCAGUCUGGUCCCCUCACCACGGCGGGCGAGCGAGCCCAGCAGGGCAGAGUCGUGCCCCGGGGCACCCGGGCCAUGGGGAGGGGCAGGGAGCCCACCUCGCGUCCCCGCUGCACCCCCGUGUCGAGAGCAGCACCCACCACAUGGCCAGUGCUCGGGAAACAGGCGGGAGAAGGAACGGACGGGUGACAGAAGACGGUACAAGAGCGCCUGGCCGACUUCCUGCAAGCCCGCACCAGGCUUGAGCCGCGGGCUCCCGAGGGAGACGCGCGCACAGGCCCGGGCCAUCCUCCGGGGGGCGGUACCCAGCGAGGAGCUCCGGCCUCGGCCCCCGAGCAGCCAUCCCAGCCGUGAGGGUCAAAGGACGCCGUGGGGCUAGAAAUAAAGGUGUGUGCACCUUCCAGGAGAGAGAGAGCAGCCCAGGUGUGGCCCUGGGGGCGGAGGGGCUGGAGGGGCUCCGCGGCCGUCACCCGGGUGCCGGGCAGCGGGGCGCGGGCUCACCGGCCUGGUCGCCGUAGCCCUGGAGGCUGACCCUCCGCAGGCGGUCGAAGCCCUGGCUGAUGUCCCGCAGCUUGUCCUUCAGCUCGGCGUGGCCCGCCUGCAGCGCGUCCUCCUUGACGCGGCUCACGUCCACGGGGCUGAUGACAUUUUCGUGGAUUUCUGCGGAGCCAGAGGCAGGAGGCCGUGAGGGCCGGCCCUGGGCCGCCCGCGGAGCUCCGUCUAGAUGUCGUGGAGCGCCGCAGCCCCAGCCCCGCUGCCUCUCUCGGGGCGGGUCCCGAGCCCCCCACAAGCCCCUGAAGUCACGCCGGCGGUGACAGGAGCGGUGGCCCGUGGCACCGCACAACAGGUUCAUCUGAACCCACGCCCACAGACGUGCGUAGGCACCCCGACGGGCUCCUAAAUGCUGAGAUUCCUGCUCGGAAAGCUGGGAGGCCUGACAGCAUGGCACUGCCCCCAGCCCCCCCAGCAGCUCUGUUCUGGAACACUCUGGAGCCAGGGCCGCCUGCGGGGAGCACCUUCGGUCCUGCUCAGGGUCUCCAGCAGGACGUUGUACUCCUGGACCUUCUCCUUGUGAUGCUGGAGCUCCCGCCACAGCUUGUCCAGUUCUUCACUGGAGAACUUCCCAGAGGUCUUUGCCUGGAAGGAGAGCCACCUCCAGUGAACACCCCCGUGGGCCGUGCUCGCCUGUCCACACCUCGGGGUGCACCCUGCCAGCCACGCCCACCUGGGAAAAGAUUUUCUACAAGGAGAAACCUCAGCGUCGGCAGCUUCCGGUGAAAAGUUAACAGCGGUAGCCGGGAGGGGACACUGGCUCCAGCCUGCUGCUGGCCGGUCACUGUGGGGCAGCGACCAGGUGCCGUCUGUCAGUAGCGCCAGGACACAGCGCCGCCCAGAGGCCUGCGUCUCAGCACCAUCGUCACCAACGCGACGCGGCGGGUGCCUCGUGGACCCGGAAGCAGCGCCCCUCGGCGGGGCCGGGCUGCUGGUUCUGCCCUGGAGGACGCCCCUCCCGGCAUCUCCUCCCGCCCCGCCCGCCCUGCUCUGAAGGAACGGGCGUCCUUCCUCCCGUCUGCAGACAGUCCCCACUGUCUCCUCCAGGCCACACGCGGGCCCCUCUGGAUCCGGGCUUCCCUUUCCCCUGUGCUCGAUCCCUGAGGUCCUCAUCCGAGCAGUGGCCCACCUGACCCCUGACCCCCAGCACCCCCUCUGACAAGCGCUGGACACGAGUGGUCCCCACGGGGGCCCCGCGGCCCACCUGCGUGGCCUCCACACCCAGCUCCUCGCCCCGGGGCCCACCCUCAGCUGAGCCAGCCCGGGGAGCGCCCUGCUCAGCCUGACCUCGCCUCCUGGGGCUUCACUUCCCUGUCUACACUGCCUGUGCCUCAGAACUCACCCUGCCCAGAAGCUCAGCCCACUGGGAGCCUUGAGAGUGAGCUGUGAUGAGUGAGUGUUCCUGGUGUCCAGCCUGCGGUGCGGGCAUCGCGGGGAGGGAGCUGACCACCAGCCGCCUCUCCCUGCCCCCCACGCUCCUCCAUCUCCCAGCCCCGGGCCACCUGGACGCACCGGGAGCCCUAGAUGCAGGGUGGGCCACAGGGGCCACAAGGCUCGGACCGGCGAGGGCCGUGCUCUUGACGUGGCCAGACCCUGGGAACAGCCCCGCUUCCUCGUCCAGGUGACCGUGGGCAUCUGGCCAUCCCAGGCGCCUCCCGGACCAAGCAGCCCUGGUUGCUUGUGCGCUAACGCGGCCAGACGUCCUCGCCCUGGCCCGCCCUCCCACGCGCCGAGAGCCCGCACGGGACAGCCUGGCAGCUGUGCCUGCCCGCGGCUGAGGGUCACCUUGCCAGGGCCAGGCUCACGAGGACAGCCCCGACUCUCGUCUUACCCACAAACCAAGUCAGAGUAAGAAGCUGGGACCCGAGCCUGGGUGACCGCUGCCCUUGGACUGAGAAGAGACAUACCGUUGAGACUGCGGGCAAGCUUUGCCUCUUUCUCUCCAUCUUCAUCCAGGCCUUCAGCCUUCAAUUUCUUCCACUUGAACUCGUCCUGUUCUUGUAUCUUCAGAUCAGCAUGGAGCUCGGACAACUUCAAAGGAGGAAGAUCAAGCUGCAGGAGGAGAAAAGAGGACACGUGAUCCCCAGUUGAAUGAUGACCAGCGACAGCGACCUCGGAGGGCAGACGCCAGAGACGGGGAGGCGGAGCCAGGGUCCCAGGUGGCCAAAAUCCUGCAUGUGCUCCCGCACGAGAACCUCAAAGGGACCUCUGCCCGCAGCGUGAAGACCACCGGCCCUUACACCCCGAGGCCGCUCUCCAGCCUCGUCAGAUCCCAAGUCCCCAGGGAGCCGCCCGCCACCAGCGGCCUGAGUGUGCAGGUGCUGGUGGCCCAGGGGCUCCUGUCGCAGGACGCCUCACCUUCCCAGCCGGGGCCC